rnacentral:rRNA from 1 species
CACGUAGGGCGCAAGCGUUGUCCGGAAUUAUUGGGCGUAAAGAGCUCGUAGGUGGUUUGUCGCGUCUGUCGUGAAAGCCCAUGGCUUAACUCCGGGCCUGCAGUGGGUACGGGCAGACUAGAGUGCGGUAGGGGAGACUGGAAUUCCUGGUGUAGCGGUGAAAUGCGCAGAUAUCAGGAGGAACACCGGUGGCGAAGGCGGGUCUCUGGACAGUAACUGACGCUGAGGCGCGAAAGCUAGGGGAGCAAACAGG